AUUGAACGCUGGCGGAAUGCUUUACACAUGCAAGUCGAGCGGCAGCACGGGGGUAACCCUGGUGGCGAGCGGCGAACGGGUGAGUAAUACAUCGGAACAUGCCCAGUCGUGGGGGAUAACACUUCGAAAGAAGUGCUAAUACCGCAUACGUCCUGAGGGAGAAAGCGGGGGAUCGCAAGACCUCGCGCGAUUGGAGUGGCCGAUGUCAGAUUAGCUAGUUGGUGGGGUAAAGGCCUACCAAGGCAACGAUCUGAAGCUGGUCUGAGAGGAUGAUCAGCCACACUGGGACUGAGACACGGCCCAGACUCCUACGGGAGGCAGCAGUGGGGAAUUUUGGACAAUGGGGGCAACCCUGAUCCAGCCAUUCCGCGUGAGUGAAGAAGGCCUUCGGGUUGUAAAGCUCUUUCGGCAGGAACGAAACGGUGAGCUCUAACAUAGCUUGCUAAUGACGGUACCUGAAGAAGAAGCACCGGCUAACUACGUG
rnacentral:rRNA from 1 species